rnacentral:lncRNA from 1 species
CACAGGUAUCCUUAUCUCUUCCUGAUACAUACUGUAAAUUCUGCAAUAGAAACAGUGUGCCUGAUGUUUUAUAGAUUUAUAUGUUCAAUGAUGAGUAUAAAGAAUCAAAAUCAAAUACAGCCAUCAAGUCCUCUUGUUGCCAUGUUAUUGUCCUUAUUCUUCUCAACGUAUGUAUCAGGAAGAGAUAAGCUUUUAAGGGACAUAGCACAUAUGUUGUGCUAUUGUUCAUAAUUUGUUUUUCGAGGAGAAUUUUACCAGCAAUCGAGGGAUACCGAUAGGUAGCCCCUAGCGGCACCAUUGGCCAAGUUGGUCGUUAGAGAAGUGGAGAGAGAAGUCAUAACAUCGUUUAAUCCUUAUCUUGUAAAAUAUAUUAGGUAUGUUGAUGACAUUUUUACAGUUUGGCGUAAUUACAAAAACAUUAAUGUCUUUAAGGAGGCUAUGAUGCAGAGUCGGUAUGGCACAGCCCUUCGCUUAGAACAGAGCAGUACCGAAGAAGUACACUUCUUAGAUAUACUAAUAAAAGUGGAUCGAUGUAACCUAAAAACCUCAGUCUAUAGAAAAUUGUAUUUUAAACCGGUUCUAAUAUCUAGGUGGUCUACAGACCCCAUCUCAUACAAAGAAUCCGCAUUUAGAUUUUAUUUCAGAAGAGCAUAUGAGUAUACAACUAAUAACGAGGAUUUAAGUGAAGAACUCAGUUAUAUUUUGCCAUAGGCCAUG